rnacentral:rRNA from 1 species
UCGUCACACUAUCAUUAACUGAAUCCAUAGGUUAAUGAGGCGAACCGGGGGAACUGAAACAUCUAAGUACCCCGAGGAAAAGAAAUCAACCGAGAUUCCCCCAGUAGCGGCGAGCGAACGGGGAGGAGCCCAGAGCCUGAAUCAGCAUGUGUGUUAGUGGAAGCGUCUGGAAAGGCGCGCGAUACAGGGUGACAGCCCCGUACACAAAAGCGCAUGUGCUGUGAGCUCGAUGAGUAGGGCGGGACACGUGGUAUCCUGUCUGAAUAUGGGGGGACCAUCCUCCAAGGCUAAAUACUCCUGACUGACCGAUAGUGAACCAGUACCGUGAGGGAAAGGCGAAAAGAACCCCGGCGAGGGGAGUGAAAAAGAACCUGAAACCGUGUACGUACAAGCAGUGGGAGCACAGGUUUACCUGUGUGACUGCGUACCUUUUGUAUAAUGGGUCAGCGACUUAUAUUCUGUAGCAAGGUUAACCGAAUAGGGGAGCCGGAGGGAAACCGAGUCUUAAUUGGGCGUUAAGUUGCAGGGUAUAGACCCGAAACCCGGUGAUCUAGCCAUGGGCAGGUUGAAGGUUGGGUAACACUAACUGGAGGACCGAACCGACUAAUGUUGAAAAAUUAGCGGAUGACCUGUGGCUGGGGGUGAAAGGCCAAUCAAACCGGG